GACAGAGGGUGCAAACGUUGUUCGGAAUUACUGGGCGUAAAGCGUGUGUAGGCUGCUACAUAAGUCGGAUGUGAAAGCCCCGGGCUCAACCCGGGAAGUGCACUCGAUACUGCGUAGCUUGAGUCUCGGAGAGGUUGGUGGAAUUCUCGGUGUAGAGGUGAAAUUCGUAGAUAUCGAGAGGAACACCGGUGGCGAAGGCGGCCAACUGGACGAAGACUGACGCUGAGACACGAAAAGCGUGGGGGAGCAAAACAGG
rnacentral:rRNA from 1 species